UGAGGAAUAUUGAGCAAUGGGCGAAAGCUUGACUCAGCAACGCCGCGUGGGCGAUGAAGGCCUUCGGGUUGUAAAGCCCUUUUCCAGGGGACGAGAGAGGACUGUACCCUGGGAAUAAGGUUCGGCUAACUACGUGCCAGCAGCCGCGGUAAUACGUAGGAACCGAGCGUUAUCCGGAUUCACUGGGCGUAAAGCGCGUGUAGGCGGUUCUAUAAGUCGGGUGUGAAAGCUCUUGGCUUAACUGAGAGAGGUCGUCCGAUACUAUAGGGCUUGAGGUCGGGAGAGGGACGUGGAAUUCCUGGUGUAGUGGUGGAAUGCGUAGAGAUCGGGAGGAACAUCAGUGGCGAAGGCGACGUCCUGGCCCGCACCUGACGCUCAGACGCGAAAGCGUGGGUAGCGAACGG
rnacentral:rRNA from 1 species